AAAGGACGACGACGGCGUCGUCGGCGGUGUGCGGUGGGGCGUCGCGGUGGAGCAGCGGCGCGCCGACCUUGCCGUCGUUUUGUACUUAUUAGGUCGUCGUCGUAGGUUAUCAACGACCGUUGUGUUAACGAAGAACAACAAUAAUAAUAUUAUAUCGCCGCCGCGGCCCACGUGCCGACGACUCGGCCACCAGACCACCUCUUUUUGUCAGUGUUCGAACCGCACUCGACGGUGCAGCAAGUCGAACGUAAGCGAUAUCAUCGUCGUCACACGCUGCUGAGGUGAUUUGGCGCGCGCACACGUGUUGCCGGUCGCGGGUGCGGUAAUAAUAUAUAAGACACGACAUCGUUAUCAAUAAUAAUCGUUAUCACUGUUUUACGCGGACUUUUGAAAACGGGCACUCUCCUGCAGCCGACCGGGCCACCGUCAAGUCUUCCUCUGCGACCUUUUGGCGCACCGUACGAGAAUACUAAAAUCGGCGAAAGUUGCAUUCGCAACAGUUCAAACAGUUUUUGUUGUAUCAGUAUCUGCAUAAGACGGUAGUAGGAAGGACGACGAAACGCACGACUUCUGCAGCAGACAAAGUAGAUCACCGUGAUCAUGGCGUCGUCGCCUUUGCGGGCUCCGGCGGCGGCUGGUCAAUCGAGAUUGAUGGACAUGCAAAAAAAGUUCCAAGAAAAGCAUUUGGCCACUUUGGCGGCCAUCAAAGGCAAAGUCGCCGGGUCAACAACAUCGUCAACUACUUCGUCGACUAAGACUACCGGAAGCAGUGAUAUGCCGGUACCACCUGUUCGGCGGGUCGUCGGCGCCAUCCCGGCUGUGCAACCACAGCCGCGCAGGCCGGCUGGAUCCGGAAGCGGUAGCGAUUCUGUCGUACAGGUCGACGUAAAGGGAAAGGUACGGCAGCUGUUCGCCGAGCGGAGCCAACAGCAACAGGGACCGGGCUACCAGCACCACCAGCAAUUGCGGCGGCAGCGGCGGCGGAGCCUGACGGGCCGCGACCGGUCUCGGCCCCUGCGGCCGCUGUCGGGAGGCGACGACGACCCGCUCUGCAAGACCGUCUGCUUUACGGCCCCGUCGCUGGCGGGCGGCGCCGACCUGGUGGGCAUCAGCAGCGCGAACGGCAGCGACGUCCGCGGCGAGCUGCUCGCGCUGUUCGGCCGGUUGCCCAACCUGGGCGGACAGCUGCUGUCGGAAUCGUUCCGCGCCGGAGCCGGUAAAAUGAAAACCGCCCAGUCGGCGCCCGAGCUCAAGUGGCUGCUGGACGGCGGCACGGGACCCGGCAGGGCGGGCGGCGGUCCUGCGAGGCCGGCGGCCCAGCCCGCGGCCGCAGGACCAAAGGACAAAGGAGGCGGCGGCGGGGGUCCGAGACUCGCGGGGGCGGCUACGGGCGCAGGCGACGACGGUGAUUACGGUGACGAUGACGACGACGACGACGACGGCGACCACGACGGACAACAGCAACAGUCGCAGCGACCGGCGGGCCGAAUAAACAGCAAGACCGCGGUCGUGAAAAAACCAUUGGCCGCGGUCAACGGUAACGUCGGCGGCGGCGGUGGCGGUGGCGGUGGCGGUGUGGGCCGCGUCGCUAAAAAGCCGACGUCCAACGACUCCAACAGGUUGCUAUUGCCGCCCGUCGUGCAGCCGACGGUGAUCAACGCGCUGGCGGCGGGCGCCGGUGCGGCCGCGGCGUUGGCCAGCGUGAGCGCGGCCACGGCGGCCGGGGCUCAGAAACCGGUGGUCAGGGCCGGCAAAUUGCCCGCACAAAAGCCGGCCGCUCCUCGGCGCGUGGCUCCGCUGCCGGCCAAGACCUCUCCCCGGCCGCCGGCCGUCAAGAACGCCACGCCCGCCACGACGACGACGACCCGACCGCAACCCGUGAAGCAGCAACUGUCCGCGGACAGGGGCCCGCCGGCCAAGGGCAUGGCCCGUUGUCCGCUGUGCGCCCGGGACUUUGCGGCCGACAGGCUGCCCAAGCACGAGGAGGUGUGCCGGCGCACGCGCGAACGCGACCGCAAGCGCAAGGUGUUCGACACGAGCAAAAAGCGGCUGGAAGCCGUGGCCGCCGAGGCCGGCGUGGACGUUUCGUCGUUUAAGAAAAAGAGCCAAAAGGAGGACCAGCGAGUCGCUGAGAAACUCCAGAAGAAGAAGGAUGCGUGGCGCCGAAAGCACGAUCAGCUCGUGCGCAACGUUCGGGCCGCGCGGGCUGUGCAGCGACACUUGGCCGCAGGAGGCACGGUAAAGGACUUGCCACCGGAGCUGGAGAACGCGGCGGCGGACCAGGACGACGAGGUUGACUCGGACCUGGUUAAGUGCCCGCACUGCGGACGUACGUUCAACGAGGCUUCGGCAGAGAGGCACAUACCUUUGUGCGCCGACCGGCAACGGAACGCGGCCGCCCGCAUGCAGAACAACAAGAAACGGUGAAUUUCAUCGUUUUCACCGUCGCCGCCACCACAACAACAAUUAAACAACAAUAUGAAUGACAAAAACGACAGUGAUGAACUCAAUCACUACCUAUUAUCGCCACUGUGGUCAUUUACAUACAACUUGAAUCUGCCUAAAAAUUUUAAUGACUCAAUAUUUAGAGUCAAUAUGUUUAUGGAGUUUGGAGUGUCACGUUUUAUCAUUAUAUAUAUAUGCAGUAUAUAAAAAGUCUAAAAGUUGAAUUAUUUUAUGUUAAACGUACAAAAAGUACAAAAUGUUUUCACAUUUCUCAGUCAAACGAUAUUCAAUGACUUUAAGUUAAAAUGAUAUUAUAUCAAGUCCGAGUUUUGUGUCCAAGUAAAUGUGAAGAUUACAAUGAUAUAUUAAAAUACAUAAUGUUAUCUCAAUCGAAAACCACCUUCGUCAUAGAAUAUGUAUAUUGUAUAUACUAUAUUGUAUUAUAUUGCCUACAGUAGUAGUAUUUAUGUACUCUAGGUAUUGACUUUUAUUUUAUUAUUUUAUGAUUAAUGUUAUUUCUAAUUUUAUUGAUCCGUUGUAACUGUAAUUGAUGUAUUUUUGAGGCUGUUUUAGCCAUUUAUCGAUUAAUCAAUUAAUUUAUAAUUAAACGUAUUUUUUUUUUUAAAUAAUGAUGAUUAAUAUAUUACCUUAUCCUGUUGUACAUUUUUAUAAAUUGGUGCUGAUGAUCUUGCAUUACUUAUAUUAUAAAUAUAAAUAAUUAAAACUUUUUAAUAUUUUGCAAAUAUUUUUUUUUUAUAAUAUCAAGAAAAAUGCGGAAUUGUAUAAACUUUGUACCCCUUUUUCAUUUUUACUACCUAUAUCUUUAACCUUAAAAUUAAUAAUAUUCUACUACUUUUGGGUUCAAUUGUACCUACUUAUAAUCUACAAUAUGUAUUGUUAUAUUCACGAUAACCCUGUAAACUCGGAAUAUUCAAAAGAUUGUGUAAAGGCCAUAAUUUUGAAUUCUGUGGGUAGUGGAUUGUGAGUAAAACUUGUCUUGUGUGUUGUAUAAAAUGAUCAUUAUUUUUUUGACUAUGUAUCGAGCAUUCACACGUCAAGAUCAAAACUUUAAAAACAGCUAUACGCCCGUGUCUGAUAAAAAUAUUGGUAGACACUUGUAAAUUAGUAAAUGUAUAUUAUUAUUAACAUUGUAUAACGUAUAUAUUAUGUUAAAUUAAAUUCUGAAACUAAUGGUACCUAAUAGUUUGAAAUUUGUGAGAUCAAUAUUGAGUGUUUUAUUAACGAUUCUAAAUUUAAAUCGAGUAUUUUUACACAAAACAAUGAUUUAAAAUGACCAAAAAAACCGCGGAAACGAACACACCUAACUACGGGUCGAAUAUUCGCGCUACUAUAGACAACACGCCGCGUUUAAUCUCUACAUGCAGGCGAAGCCUAUGAAUCGAGGCUUAAAGCACAAAAAAAAAGUCCCCCUAUAUUAUACAUAUAAUUAUAUUGUAAACUCAAUAAAAAUGUACGAAUAUUUUCAACAAUUUGUAAAUCUUCUAACUUUGGAUCUUGAACGCUAUAUAUACUGCUCUACACCAGUGGUCUGCAAAGUCAAAACUACGGCUCACAGGUAGUACUCUGCCCGUCGACAGCUCUUAUCCGACACUCCAAAUGACAAUGAUAAAUGUAUUUAAACAUAUUAUAAUAUGUAUAUCAAAAUUCGCUAUCGUCCAUACCUAUAUACAUCCAUACAUGCAUUAAUCUGCGUAGUACUGUAGUCUCUAUUAUUCUCAGGAUUGAACGUGAAACGAACAAAAAAAAAAAUAUAGCAACCUCUAACAUUAUUCUACAAAAUUUCUUAUACAAAACGUGGGUUAAGUCUCUCUCUCGAUAUUCAUAUACGAUAUAUACCUAUGUAUUGCCUUCACAUAUUUUUAUAACGAUUUCAAAUGGUCGGUUUAACAUUACACUGUCAAAUAUAAUUCAUACCUUGCAGUAUCUGUACAUAGGUAAUAUUUUAUAAUAUAAGAAUAUUAUUAAGUAUUAAUAUAUACGUUAUACAUAUACGUACGCAUAUAUUACAUAGGUACGGAUAUACCUAAGUAUAUAAAGAGAGAGAGAAAGAAAGAAAUAGAGAGAACUCGGUUAGCAGUAAAACUUACCGUAUAUUUCCUUCCAAACAGCACGGAAUAAGUUAUUAUAUAUUUGAUAAUAUAUAAAGUAUAAGACAAAAACCGGAAGCCGCGCACGAUCACUUAAUCGGCGACGUACGACGACAACGCGCGAGCUCCGCGUCCGGGAUGGUUGACGCGGCUCCGCGUAAUAGCCAUAUUUUGAAUUCAAACGGCAUUUACGCGGAAUGCCGCUAAUUACUUUUCUCACCGACCGCCAGAUGACGACGGACGACACCGACGUCCGCACGCGGACCGACCGAGCCGCCGACGCCCGACACCGCGAACCGGACCCAGGCUAGUCAGUCUUGUGAUCCGCGUCUUACCGCACACGCUCCGAUUCGCUGUUUUUCCCCUUUUGUUUUACACACGUUGCUACUAUUGUUUUUUUUUUCGUCUCGCCCUACGCGGUAUUGUUUUUUUCUUUUUUGUUGUUUUAUUUUAGAGUUUUGUUCGUUGCAUUCUCCCUCAAAAUAAAACCAACUCACACCGCCGACAAACAGCGUUAGUUUUUUUUCUUCCCCUUCACCUCUCAAUCCUCACACUCUUGGACCGCGCCGUGCCCGCACCAGGUCCGCGUCAUACGGUCGACAAGCCGAUUUCGCGGACCGGUCCUGAUCAUCUAAACUUUCAGUCUAAUCAGUGAUAGCGAUAGUCUCAGUCUUGUGAUCCGCGCGACCGUGCGAAGUACGCGACACAGUCGUCCGCACCACUGUUUUUUCCUCCGAGUAGAUCUUGUUUUGUUCUUUUUUUUUAUUAUUAUUCUAUGAUAUUUUUUACGACUGCAAAACCGUACCGCGCACGCGACGCAUCUGUUUGUAUCGAUAAAAAUGUUCCACCGAAAAACGCCGAAUUGUGUUUUUUUUUUUUCAUUUGUUUCUGUAAUCCCAUCUCCCACUCGCCGCGGAAUAGCAACGCAAACGCGUCAAAUUGGCUCUCUGUACAGGAAUCACCGAUGACAACAAUCAAUCAUAACUAUUAUUAUGGGGAACAAGCUGCUCCCAUAAAAAGUGA